CCUACGGGGCGCAGCAGUGGGGGAUAUUGCACAAUGGGGGAAACCCUGAUGCAGCGACGCCGCGUGUGGGAAGACGGUCCUCUGGAUUGUAAACCACUGUCCCAAGGGACGAAGAUGACGGUACCUGGGGAGGAAGCUCCGACUAACUACGUGCCGGAAGCCGCGGUAAUACGUAGGGAGCAAGCGUUGCCCGGAUUUACUGGGUGUAAGGGGAGGUUAGGCGGUAUGGCAAGUUGGGUGUUAAAUCUACCGGCUAAACUGGUAGUCGCACUUAAAACUGGUAUUCUUGAGUGCAGUAGAGGUAGGCGGAAUUCCUAGUGUAGCGGUGAAAUGCGUAGAUAUUAGGAGGAACACCAGUUGCGAAGGCGGCCUGCUGGGCUUCUACUGACGCUGAGGCUCGAAAGUGUGGGGAGCAAACAGGAUUAGAUACCCUUGUAGUC
rnacentral:rRNA from 1 species